GACGCACAACAGCUCUUACUUUUCCUCUUCUACAUAUGCGCAGCAAUCUAGCAAUCUCCAUGGAAAAUCUACGAGCUCUUCCUUCUAACUAAGCCUGCUCACCUGAUCUGGCGACACCACCAACAUGCCAGCGCCCACUGCCCCACCGCCGCUAGGAUUGGCCUACCACAUACCCUGAUUCUUCGCCUUCGUUUCCCGGCCCAGCCACUGGCCAUGCGUGUCGCUCCCACACGGCCACACCCGAGCGAGCGAGCGGCGGACGGGCCGAGGCCGACCGGGACAGAGGCCACAAGCCGCAUCCCCACUGGCCUCUGCAUGAUUUUGUCUACGACUCUACGUUGGUAUGCUUUGUAAUUUUUUAUCUCUGUGUUGGUAUGCUCUGUAAUUUUUUAUCUCUUUGUCUUCGUUCAGAGUUAUUUGAUUAUUAUUGAUUAUUGUAUUGUAUAGUGUACUGGUGUAUAAUUGGGCAUAGUUCUCUUUCAGUUGAACUAUACAUAAUUGCUAGGAUUUAAAAUUAUGUACUGAUGAAUUUAUGCGUGAUUAGAUGUAGCAGGAAGUUAGUUCCACACUCUAUGUUGCUAAAGAGUACAUGAAAGAAAAUCUACAACUAUAUAUGAUGAUGCCAUAUGGAUGUUGAAUGAUGGAUGCGAUGAAGCUAUUGGAGCUGCAUGGUACUCUGAUAUAUGAUUGAAAUUUUGAGUGUCUGGCAGCUCUAUGUGAUCCUAAAAAAGUUAAAAAACAGAAAAUAUUAAUUCCACAAUAAUAAUAAGAGAUUGAGAGGGA